AUUGAACGCUGGCGGCAGGCCUAACACAUGCAAGUCGAGCGGAGCGGCGGACGGGUGAGUAAUUCCUCGGAAUCUGCCUGGUAGUGGGGGAUAACGUCCGGAAACGGGCGCUAAUACCGCAUACUAUCAGAUGAGCCUAGGUCGGAUUGGCUAGUUGGUGGGGUAAAGGCCUACCAAGGCGCAGAUCCGUAACUGGUCUGAGAGGAUGAUCAGUCACACGGGAACUGAGACGCGGUCCAGACUCCUACGGGAGGCAGGAGAGGGGAAUAUUGGACAAUGGGCGAAAGCCUGAUCCAGCCAUGCCGCGUGUGUGAAGAAGGUAUUCGGAUUGUAAAGCACUUUAAGUUGGGAGGCGUUACCAACAGAAUAAGCACCGGCUAACUUCGUGCCAGCAGCCGCGGUAAUUC
rnacentral:rRNA from 1 species